CUCCUCUCAGGGUCGUAGCAGGAGAGUUUCCAGUACUCUACCAGUCUCGACCUCAGGAGGGAGAGUCAAGCAGAGGCCUACCCAUUCCAUUCCUAGCUUGGGCAGUGGUUAGGGAGUGGAAGGCAAUCUGCUACAAGU
rnacentral:snoRNA from 1 species